GCUGACUCCUCUGCCAGCUGUGCAAGGGAAGGGUGGAGGACCAAUACUGCAGUCUCAGAAGAACUAAUAGGAAUAGAGAAGCAUUUAAGUAAAACCACUCACUAACACUACAGAUCUCCUUACCAGGUCAGCCUGCCAAUGCAUCAGCACAGCUGGAAGGCAACGCCUGGCAACCACUCCAGCCCCAUUGCCCCACCAAAGGAGCUGCUUAAUUGAGCAGGAAGCCAAAGCUGAUUAAGCAAAUCACACUGGAAGAACGGUGCAGUAUUUGGUGUUCCUGUGGAGUCAUGAGAGCACACUUGGCAUGGGGUGAAAGGAGCUGCUGCCCAAACCUAGUGUCCAAAGCUCAUACUCCAGAUGAGAGGGAGGUGGAUCAGCCCUCCUUCUGGCUGGGCAGUUCUGCUCUAUUUGACACAGCUCACCUGCCUGUCUAAUGGCUUCACAUCGUCCGUCUGUCCUGCGGAGCAACCCCCCACGACAGCUCUGCCUGUCCCACCUGCAUGCCCACCCUGGUGUUUCCUCAGCAACUCACCUUUGGAGACACAUUUCCUUCCCAUCUAGUGCAAGGGAUGAGCUAAGCUGUGAAUGCCAGCCUUGCACAGCACUGCCCACAGCUGGGCUAUGAGGAGGCGGCAGCCUCAGCCCUCUGUGAGAGUUUGGUGUCUGGUGUUAACUGGAGGCAGGAGAGUUGUCAACAGGAGAGCACACCUGCAGUUUUGAAGCUGCCUUAAAAUCAGUGACAAAACAGCUACAAAACCCAGAAUCAAACUCAGGCAAGCUGAUGAAGCCUGCAGAAGAGCCAUCCCAGCAGGACAGGGCAGCUGUUGUCACCUGUGGAGCCAGGCAGACACAGUUGCUGUGUCCCUAAAAGGACCAUGAGACCCACUUACCUGACAGCCUGUUAGUGCUGAAGCUGCUGCCAGCCAGUCUGUUCUGUUUCCUGAAGAAGAGCUGAGGUGAUAAACAUCCAACAGGUGCUUUUUCAUCACAAAAGAGGAAAAAAAUAAUCAGCAAGUGAUACACUCUUCUAGUAAAGCUUCUUUCCCAUCAGACUGUCAUGGGUAACUGCCAAAAAAUGUUCAGACUGGAAGAUGAGACAAGGAAAAGCUUAGAGAGGUUCAUUACACCUGAAAACAAGAUACCUGUUCAGAGCAGUGGUUAGGAAAGGAGUAGCAUCAACAUUGUCUGCAAGUUUCCAGCAAAUUAAUGCUUCUUACCCAGUGCCACCAGCAAAGGGAUGGUUAAGGAAGGGGAAACUUUACCAUAAAACGUGCAAUUCUUGGUGGGAUAUGAUGAAAAGAAAGAGACAGGAUCAUCUUACUUCCCAAGGGAGCCUGGGGGUAGUUAUGUGCUGGCAUUCACUAAGAGCCAAUGGAAACUGAAAACAAGGAGGAUCACUCAGCUUGCAAGUGGGAUUUCUGCAGCAGAAGAUGACUGGCUGCAUCAGGACAGCCCCUAGGAAAGGUGGGAUAGAUGGCAGUCAUAAUUUUUGUGCAGGUGAAGUAAAGCAGUUUUAGGGGAAAUAAAUGGGUUUAGUAAGGUCUAGGAUUCAAAUGCAGGGGUUUCAUUAAGUAUAAAUUGUCCCUUGUGUUGGUGUAGUAUUGCAUAUGGCAUGGCAACACCUCACAGUCACAUGCUUCCUCUUCAAGAUAUUCCCAAGAGGUAGGAAGGUGCAAUUAGCAGCUUACAGCAUCAAGAAGCAUGUGCAGGAGCAUGGGACAUUUCUGGUUUAGCCAUGGGAUGACCAAGUGUCUCAGCAAGGGGUCACUUUCCCCCUGGACCUGAGCCUCAUAAGACACCACAAAGGACUGGGGAAAAGUUUCUGAGCAAACCAGCAUAGCAAGGGCUGUGCUGGCUCCUCCAGCUGCUAACAUGGAGGAGGCUCAGGGAGGAUGAAGGCUGGGAAAGGGGAAGCCCAUCUUCCUCCUCUGCUCAAUAAUAGUGCAGAGGAGGAAGGAGAACAGUGUUUGUUCUCACCUGUAUUUGGUCAUAAGUGAAAGCUCUAACAGCAAGAUAAUCUGUGGGUUUUCCUGUGGAUAGGUGAAGUGACUCUCAGAUUAGAAAGUGCUGAGCAGUGCUUCUGGCAGUUUAUCUUGCUAAUGCUUCCUUUAAGAUCCUACUCCAGACAAUGCAAGUGAUGACUCCUUUUAUAAAACUUGGCCAUAGAAGUUAGAUUAGCACAGGACAGGUAGUACAAGCUCACCUGUGGAGAUUGCCAUGAGCCGGCAAAGCCACACAUUAUCUUUCAGAAAGGGGCUUGUGAACCAGGUGUACUUUAAAACCUCACAAUCAGUGCUGUAAAUUGUGUGCUCACACCCAGACUCCAGUGGCAGACAUAAGAAAAGUCCCAAAUAAAAGGUCCUCCCUAGGAAGGACAUGACAGAUCAUAGAGAAGUCUCAAGGAAAAAAGGUGUUGGCAGAGGAGCUUCACUGAGUGAGUCUGGAGCUGUCAAAAUCCAGGUUGUCAGGAAAAUUGAAGAAAAACAAUUUCUUAAAGAGUAAUGAGCUAAAAUGAAGGAAAGGUAUUUCCUCAGCUCUGGCAAUGAGGUAUACUGUUUCACACAGUGGAAGAGCCUAGUGAGACAUUUUGACGUACAUACUCAGACAUUGAAGAGCUCCAGCCUCUUUAGGAAAUUAAGUAAUGAGAGUGAAUAAGAAUAAAGGAAAGUGCCUCUUUGGAGCAGAUGAAAAGACUCCAGAUGUGUACAUGGCUGUGACUGCUUCAUAUUGUUUGGGACUUUUAGUCCUGAAAAAAAGAGAGACAAUCCUGACAAAAUAUGUAAGUCUUCACCUGAAUGCUAUAAAGACAGAAUCAAAUUUAAUGUUAAAGCUCAAAUACAGAAAGGAAAUGCAAGAGGAAAUGAAAAGUGAAAAAGAAUCUCCCCUUGAAAAAAGUAAUAAAGAUAUUCCACUUCCUCAUGCUCUCCCUUAUCUCACAUCACUUGGGGAGCAUUGAUUCUGCUCACAUGUGAGCUUCUUCACACACUGUGCCACACACUGCAGGAUGUAAUUUCUUGGUUUGAAAAGAACAAUUGGAACUGAGAGCCCUGUCGUGCUUGUCAGCAUCCCCAGCUCUACAGGUCACACACACACUGUCACUGUCAUUGCCAGCAGGUGCUCCUGACAGCUCUGUUGUGGCCACUCUGGCAUAAACCCAGCACAGGACAGGAGCUACCUUGGGCUGAUUAUUAAAAACUCAGGCCACAUUUAUAUUUAUAAAAACUUCUUACAAUGCUCCUUACAGAGUUUAAGCAAUGAAAUGAAAUCAGGAAUACAAAACUAAAGGUGAUGGACCAAGGAGGUCUAGUCCCCUUCUGUGGCAAACUGCAGCCCAUGGCCAUCCACCUGGGUUCUCAUUAUUUGUUUCUCCCAGCACCAUGUGCAGCACUACCCACACACAUGCUGGGACCACGCUUCUGAGUCCCCUUCAAACAGCCCUGUCAGGCUGGCACAGGCCUGGUCUGGAGGACACAGCUCCAUUUGGGUGUAGCUCAAGGCAUGGAAAGACUAAGCAGGAGAGCCCCUGCCAGCAAGGCUCCUUGAGCCUGAAUCUCAGACAAGAGUAUCCUGCAGUCCUGCCUCAGCUGUACGGAGUCUGUGCUGACAGCACUCUGCACUCUUGCACCACUGCACGUUCUUUGUGGGCACAAGCAGGCUGCUCCCACCUGGAGAGCAGCUCAGCAGGCACUGAUCCCCAGGCCCUGCCCUGCAGCUGGGGCAAGCACAGCUCUGCAGAUAACUGCUAACAUCAGAUUACAUCCUUUGAGACACCAGGGCUCUGCUCCAUCACAUGAUGUUGGGGUGACUGCAGAGGAGAGCGCCACUGCCUUCAUUCUGCACCUCCACCUGAAGAACAACAUUUCUCUCCUGCACAGAUCGUGACAGAAGGAUUAUUAGAAGGAUGCCAUGCACUCAGAUAGGCCAUUAGCAAGGAACAAUCCCUAGGUAAAUAAUUAGUAAAUUACCUGUUUGAAAACAAAUGGAGAAAACUUAAUUCUUGAUUGUUAACAGUCGGGCAUCUUUCACAUUAAAAUUACAGCCAAUAAGCAAUUUCACAUUGUGGGCCUUGCACAGUAAUAUUUUCCUUUGCCAAGCCAUUUUCCCAGAGUAAACAAAACCUCUGAGAAUGCUUAUCUUAGUAUAAAACCUUGCCAGAAAAAUAAACAUAAUUAUGUCCAAAAUGAAAAAGAGAAUGGCCUGUGUUGGUUUUACAGCAUUGGGAAAGCCAUAAAACUUAACACUCCAAGUACAAGAGGUUGAAGAUGUUUACUGUUCUUAGUGUAUCCCUUCUAUUGAACACCAUCUUCCACUGCAAAUCAAGUCCCAAACAGCUGGAGGAAAAACAAGAGGCAGAAGGAAAACAAGGCUGAAUUGUGAAGUAUAUUGAUGAUUUUUCUCAUGGCAUUAGAGAUGGCCAAAGUAAAAAGAGGAGUUUCUUUUACAGUUCUGAUGUAUUUUAAGAAUUUUGUACCACAGGCUACAUUUCAAUUACAGGACCAGAGUGUAACAACAGAUGGGACACGAUGCUUAAAACCCAGCAGUUUUCCAGACAGAAGUCUCACACCAGGAUGGCCACCCAUAUAGGACAGGGCAAGUAAUGUGGGCUGGGGGCCUGAAAAGGCAGCAAGAGAAUUAAAAGUAACUGUCUGUCCCAGCUGCAUGGACUGCAAACUGGAGCUGUGGACAAGAGAGAUCUGCGAGCAAGAGCUGGAUCCACUGGGAUUAGUUGGGAUCUAAGCAAAAUCUGCAGUGUGUCCACCAGAGACAGUCACUGAGCAACACAAAGACAGAACAAAGACAAGGAGGCAGAUGUGGAGCAGAGAGCACACAAGGUGAUGGUGAAGCCAGCUGUGCUGCCAGGUGUCACAGGAUGCUGAGGUGCAUGGGACAACAGGCAGCCUCUGAGAUGGACUUCCAAAGUGCAUGCAGACACCAGAAUGGAAAGAUAGCUGAAAGAGAGGCUUUUUGUGUCACUCACUGAUUCUGAGCAGAUUGAGUUAUGUUGAGUCACUGUCUCUUUUCUGCUUAUAUACUCCAUCAUUUUCAUUUUUAGAUUCUAUUUAGAGUCACUAGAAUAUCUGUGCAUUGUUUGUCUCAUACUCAGCUUAGACCAGCCUGAUGGGGAUUUUGGCAUUGGUUAAGAGCAUAAAAUCCAGCAAGAAGCAGGAAGAGACAGAAAGUUUGUGGAUAAAUAUCUUACUGGGGUGAAAUAAAGGAAAAGAGUGCCUGCAAGUAUUCAAUUAAUUGGGAUUUAAAAUGCCACCCAGCAGCCCUAUUCUCUGUCACCUGGCAAAGGCAGAUGGCAUCAGUGCUGCCUGUGGGCAAAGUGUGCCCAGAGCAGGGACAUGCUCAAAGAUACACAGCACGACCUCGGUGAAACACUUUGCUCCCCAUAGCACAGGGCUGUGUGAAAGUAGCCAACAUCAGAGCAAACCAGGAUGAGCAGGACUCGUAGCCUUUAAAACAUUUUUAAUGGGAAACAGUGUCUGAUAAAGACAUCAUCUUUUUGGCAUGUCAUCACAGAAAAUUUGCUACAGGCAGCCAGCUUCCCAGGGCAAGCAAAAUAUCACAGAAGCUUUACUGAAUUUUUCUAAGAUUGUUUGUCAACAUCCUCAUCCCUAUCACCUUUGAAAGGGCCAGCUGAGACCUUGUCUGAUUCUAACUUCAUAAUUAGGGAUAUUAGGAAUAGCUCUGCCAAGCAAGGUCUCAUACCUGGGCAGAGAUGGUAGAGAUAAAAGAGACGAGUGAAGAGGAUAAGGUUUGACAGGGAACAAUUCUGAGUUCUAGGAAUCUAAUUUUGCUUACCAGAAUCUCUUCAGCAACAAUUUUAGUUGCAGUCUGAGGGGAAAGGAGAUGGAGAGGACAAGACAGAAACAUUGUAUAGAAUGAGCAAAACAGUAGCAAAAAAAAAAAAAGUAGGAGAAAAAAACAACCUAAAAGCUAUAUUAAACAGUAGGACCCAAGGGAGAACGGAAAAAAAAAUGAGAUUAUUAACAGAGGAAACUGGCUGGCUCCACUGAGCAAACGCUGGUAAACAGAAAAAUUAAAUUCUGCAAGAUUAAACAAGGCAUUAAACUGGUUGGGAAAAAAAAAAAAAAAAGAAAGAAAAAACAAACCCAAACCCAACAAAAACCUAAUAAUCACAUGCUCUCAGAAAUAAGUCAAGUGGUUUUACUGACUUAAACACUCAACUGGACUAAAAAAGCUCUUUUACUAAAGCAAGCAUAGCAAAUGUAUGCAAAUUGCUGAGAGCACACAUUAUAGAAGAAUGCACAUUGAAGGAGGUAUCCUCUGCUAAUACUUGCCUCUUGAUUCAGGCAGAAAGUUUAAAUAUCUGCAGCCACAGGCAACAGGAACAUGCAGCGAAGAGCCCCAUGUGUCUUGGAUUUCACCCAUCCAUAUCCUUCUGGGCACUUAAAGAAUCACUCCUUAAACUUCUCUAGCCAUCUUCCUAACGGGGUGAUGGCAAAGAACAUUUUCCCCUAGCAAAUGGAAAAUAAAAUCCAACAAAGGUUAUAUUUAAGUCCUGCCCAAAACAGGUUGAAAGAACUUUUAAUGCCCCUGGAACCCAGGCAGCUCUCCUACCCCUGAAAGGGAUUGGCACCACCAUGGGGAGAUACAGGGAAGCUGUAACCAUGUACCACAUGUCCCAUGUGGAAAUGGCAACAGCAGUCACUUAGGGAAAUUCUGUGAACAACUCCAGGGCCUGGUUCUGCACAAAUUCCACUGGCACAAAUGUGGGCCAGCUUUGCCAAUAUGGCAGUAUUAUAACUGAGACUCACAGCUUGAAAUCAAACCUUGGCAGAGUACUGGCCCAGGUCUGACAUAAAUCAGCCUCUCCGUUUUUGCUGAUGCUUUGGCACAAGGUGGCUGAGGAAGAGUUGUUGCUACCCCUUCAGCUGGGGUUUGGACCCAAAGCAUUCCUUCCUGAGUGCUGCCACUCUCAGCACGUGCAAAGUCCUGGUGCAAGAAAGCUGCAGCUUGAGAAGAAAGGUUUCAAGACAAUUAAAACCCUAGGAAAAAAACAGGGUUUUGUCAUCUAUGAAGUUCUUUUUAGCAUGAGCUGUAUGCUGUUAUGUUGUAGAUGCUCUGACACAGGACUAGACAGAGAGGAGGGUCCCUAUAAGAUGCCAGCUGUGCUCCUGACACAAACCUUUGCCAUCCCUGGGUCACAGCACAGGCUCAUGGCACUGGUCUGCAGCUGGGAAGACCCUUCCAUUCCCUGCCACCAGAGCACUUUCUCUUCUGCUGCAAGGGGCCAUCACUACAUCCUGCACAGCUGCAAUGGGGAAGCUGGAAGUGUUUGAAGGCCAUGACACCCUCCCAGGAAACUGAACACACAGGAGCUGAGAAAAGCACUGCUCCAUGUGCCAGCAUUCAGGGCUGCAUCAGCUGCAGAGCCAGCGCCAGCUGCCUGGCAGGCACCACAGUAGGGCCCCACAAACCAGAUUUGCAGGAGUGCCCUGGGGCUGGGUGAUUACAGGGGGUUUUUCCACCAGAGUUGCACAGUGUGAAAACAAACACUUUGAACAGGCAGGAACCUGAAACUGGUGCGCAAGCUGAGCAGAAACAGAGCCAGUCUGAGUUUACAUUGCAGGACUCCAUGCCAUGGAGGAAAUGUUUGUCAUCACAAAUGAGAUGUGGGCGGUGAACAAGACCUGAGUCUCUUGGUCCUAAUGACAUCUGUCAAGGGAGGUAUUGGAUGUAGACACAGAACUUCUGUGCCACUGUUCCCCCAAAGAAAUACAAGAAUUCACCUGAAUAUCAAAGAUACUUUGCCUUCAGGGACAUUUCUAGCACAACACUUUAAUUUUUUCCCUAGAUGCAGUGGUACCAAGACUCUUCACGACAUCUUCCACAACUUAUAAAUUAGCAAUUACAAUAAAACAAGGCAGCCAUUUCUGGGCUGAACCUCAUGCCAGCAAAUAUGAUAUUCACCUCUUAGCCCCUUAAAACAAGUAUCCUGUAUCUCUAGUUCUGCACCUGACAGCUGCAGAAUACCAGCCCUGUGCUUGGGGUACAGGAUGCAGGGGACACUGUGGAAGAUGGCCUCCAUUCUUUCCUGCAGAUGGGACAACUGCCUGUAACUGGUGAGGGAGAGGUUGUCUUCACCUCUGCAGGAAGCCAGCUCCCAAAUUUAAUGAAGGUUUCUCCUUCCAAUUGCUUCACCGAAUACCAGAGCAACACUUGCUCUUGUAACAAAAUGUCACUUGCUUUUCAAGUACAAACUAAAUGAGCUUUCCUGAGAAAAUAAUUGCCAGCUAUUAAAAAGCUACUGUUGGAGCUUGAGAGGACUAUUAAAAUACAAAGAGAAAUGUACCACAUUCUUCCUGAAUUGAUACUUCAAACAAAACCUAUUUUUGUUUUGAAAUGUGGCACUAGAACAAUGAAUGACCAGUUGCUUUUGUAAAGUUUCAGACUGAGAGCCAUGCAAUCAUUCUCUAAGAGCAGAAUUUCUGUGUUGUUCAUGAAAAUAGUGGGGGGAAAAAAGCCACAGGUCAGUCAGUCUCUGCCUUAGUCAGCAGAGGAGUCUCAAUCCAUCUCUCAUCAAGUCUCUCAUCACGCUGGGGAAUGUCCCGCUCAGCACCACAGUGGACACAUCUGCUUCUGCAGGGAGUCAUCCCCAUUGUCCUCAUUACAGGCUCAAAUCUUAUACCAAACAGCAACUUACGGUUGCUGUUUUCUUAAAAGCAGACUUUAAACAAGUAUUUUCUCCAUAAGAGUCAAUUCCUCCUCUUGCCAUUUUGAGUGCUACUUGAGAUGGAGCACUUUGAAGGAUCAGCUUUGCAUAUCCACAUGUACAGCCAGAAUUGCAUCAGUAACAGACCAGAACUGCCUCAUCUCCCUUACCCCUAGACUGUCCAAAUGCCUCAGGCCCAUAACCGUGAGAAUUCCCUGGAAAGGACAAGGUUGUGGUAGAUUUUCUCGAGCCAUAUUGUGCUAAACUUACACUGCUGUACUCUCCUUUAGUUGCCUUUAAGCAUCUGUUCUUUUCUGUCAUCGCUUUGUCUUGAUAAAGGUCUGGAUGUGACACUUCCAGUGUCCUCCCAUCUCCCAGGAACAUGAGGUCUUAGAGCAGUUUCAUCUUUGCCAUGAAACCUUGGCAGCACAUGUUGGCAUGAAAAACUACACCAUUCACUGACACUACUUACCCCUCGGCCUGAAUUACAACCAGCUACUGUGAAAUGCUGCCCUAAUUACAGCCUAGAAUAGCUGGGCCACUGUUCAUUAAGUCAAAUUAGUGAAUCUCUCUCUCAUCAAUCUCUCUUGGUUGUUAUUCUGAUGACCAGGUCAGCAUUGAGACUGCUAAUGAAAAACAGAACCUGGGAGAUGGCCUCACCAAGGACACAGCUGCUCCCCCACAAGUCACAACCUCAAACACACUGGAGAUGGAGACAAGCAAAGCAAACACCACUGGCAGCACAAAAUGUCAGAAAGCAGAAACAAAAGACUUCACAAAACAAAUGGUGAGAGGGAGAUGCAGCAGCCAUCUACUUACUGUGAAGUGUCAAAGGGGUAGUUCUGUCUAAAGAGAGGACAUCCUUCAAGCUCCUGUGGAAAAGCCACUCUGGGAGCUCAACCCUGGCACUGGAAGGGCAGUGCCAGCCAAGGCAGCCCUGCUGGCACCAGCUGCAGCAGGGUGGCACAAACAGCAGCUGCAUCCAAACAAGGUGGUGGCAAUUCCCAGUGUAGGUCAUAUCCAUGCCUUGGCCUGGCAAGCCUGCCUGAGAACUGAGCAGAGUCCCACAGCAACAUCAUUUCUCAUCCACGUGCUAAUCACCAAAAAAUGCCAAACUCCAACUUAACCAGUUUUGUUGAUGAAUCCAGUAUAUAUUUUUUAAGUCUCAGAAAACACAACAUACAUGAGAAAAUUCUAUUCUAUACCCCUUAAAUUAUACUUCCUCAAACUGGAAAACAGGAUGAAGAGGAUCUGGUCUCCAGACCAGUGAUCCAGAGCUAGAAAGCACUAUAAUUAGAACCAGGACUGAGACUGAAGACCCCAGGUUGUUAGCAAAACUAAUUAGCUAAUGUCAUUAGAAAGCAACAGAGAAUAAGCAAGAGCCGACUCAGACUCUACAGUAAUCUACGCAAAGGACAGUUUAAUAACUGUACUUACGAUAUGUUUUAAAAGAAAAUCACUUUAUGGAGUAGAUUUCAUCCUGGGCAAUAUCCAUACAUCUUGGACUUGGCAAAAUGGCUUGGAGAAGAGGGUUUCAUCAUAGUAAACACAGCUACUUCACAGCAAGAUUUAUUAAUACAUCCAAAAGAAAGAAAGAAAAUCAUUUUGUCACACUAUAUACAGAUAAUACAUACAGUGUUUUAUACACAUAUUACAUCAGUUUUUACACAAGAAAAAUAUACAUAAAAAUGUAAACUUUUGUAUACAAAAACCCUUAAACAAAUUAAACAAGGACCAGAUAACAAAAGGAGACCAAUCUAUUAUCAUUUAAUUGAUUUUUUUUUUAAAUGGUAAUACAGUACAUUCAUUGAGAAGUAUGAGGAACAUGUGAGCAACCUUUCCUAUUUAAAGGGAAAGUACAAACACAAGCUUUCCUCCCCGCCCCUGGAAUGCUGUCCGUGAGCCUCCAGCACUAGAGGUGGUGCGAGUUGCCAUUGCUGCCAGGGACCCUGAAGGAAGGAACCCUUCUUCUGGGGCACCUCCAUGCACCACUGUCCCCCAAAGCGACACAUCCCCAGAAGCAAGCUGGGCUGGGCUGUUUGUGCGUAUUAGCCAGGCUUCCAGCUAAUACCACGAGACGGGACGCGGCAGUGCCCGUUUGUAUGUUCCCUUUAAGCAGUCAUUAAGUGGAUUAGCCUUGCUGGAGGAAGUUGCUUAUUUUUCCCAAUGUAUGGUAUGCUGAACACAUGUGUCAGAUAUGAGAGGGAAGAAGGAAGGGGUGUAAGAGACUGCUAAUCCUUGCUACCAUGCAGUUACUUCAAAAUCAGGUACAUUUGCAAGCUACAAUUCACUGGUUCAAAAUACACUGCCUCACCUUUGCUUUCCCACUGCAACUUGUUUACAUGUUAAACUCUAGUGACCGAACAACUGUAUGAGGCUCUUUGUUACAAGGCUGUUUCUGAUAUCAAAGCAUGAUCAAGCUACCUUUAAAAUGACACCAAACACAAACUUCUCGGAGACAGCCUUAAAAAGAGAGAGCAUUCCCUCUAAGCACUUCAGAUUGUCCAUUUGCCACCUUCUUUUAUUAAGUCUAGGAUAAAUAUAUUUACCCUGAACUGCAAAAAGGAUAUUGGUUAAGCUUCUGACAUCUGUUUUGCUCCACUUGCAGAUAAAUAUUUUGGGAAUUGAAGGGAAAAAAUCCCAAAAAACAAACCCAAAUUUUAAAACCUCAGGCAUAAAAGUAAGAAGGGAAUUAUUUAACAUGUUGGUGAAAAAACAGUUGCAGAAACUUGAACUUGUUGGAAACAAACAGACGAUAGAUUCCAAUGAAGGCUUCUCACAUUAAAUAAGUUAGACGGGUUACAGACAUCUUCAAUAAAAACAUCCAUCCUCCACAAAGUAUGUUAAAAUGAAACACAAUAGUGAUGCACUGGUAUUUCUCCUAAAAAGGACAGAAGGACAUGAAAUCUCCUUAGUGAUAUCAGUACUAUUGAAUGUAGGAGGUGAACAAUGAUUUACGAAAGUAAUGAGGGGAAAAGAAAAUCAUGAAUCAUUUAUUAUAAUUGGACAAAAGGGGGAUGGGGCAGAAUGUAAUUACUGUAUGCCUCAGAAACACCUGAAGGAAAUAAAUACUUAGAAACUUGUGUUUCCAUUUCUUUCACCUAAACGAGGGUGGGAAUAAGGGCUUGUCUGCUUGCUUUUGUUUUUUUUUUGUUUCCUUUCUUUUUUUCUUUUCCUUUUUAAAACAACAACCCUUCUAGUAAAAAUUCAAAAGACAAUUACAAAUGGCUUUAGAUAAUUAAAAGUCUCCUUUUCAAAAUAAAACUUUGAUAACACAUUUCUCCAUUUCUUCUAUAUAAUGCAGCUUCAGUGAAAACAAGUAAUAAGGGACAGCAAUUUGCAAAAAAAAAAACUGUGGGAAAAAAUUGCCAACCAAGUUUCGUAACAUAUA